CCUACGGGCGGCAGCAGUGAGGAAUAUUGGUCAAUGGGCUUACGCCUGAACCAACCAAGUCGCGUGAGGGACGACUGCCCUAUGGGUUGUAAAUCUCUUUUGUCAGGGAGCAACGCCGGCUACGUGUAGCCGGACUGAGAGUAGCUGCAGAAAAAGCAUCGGCUAACUCCGUGCCAGCAGCCGCGGGAAUACGGAGGAUGCGAGCGUUCUCCGUAUUUAUUGGGGUUAAAGGGGGCGUAGGCGGAAUGCCAAGUCAGCGGUAAAAUCGCGGGGCUCAACCUCGCUCCGCCGUUGAAACUGGCGUUCUUGAGUGGGCGAGAAGUAUGCGGAAUGCGUGGUGAAGCGGGGAAAUGCAUAGAUAUCACGCAGAACACCGAUGGCGAAGGCAGCAUACCGGGGCCCAACUGACGCUGAAGCACGAAAGCGUGGGUAGCGAACAGGAUUAGAUACCCCAGUAGUC
rnacentral:rRNA from 1 species